AUGGAUUGUGGCGUGUGGAAGUGGGCGGUGGUGGGCAGGGAACAAUGUGGCCCUAGUCACCACCUCACCCCCCUCCCCCCGGUACCAGAAAAGCCCAUGUAUGAACAAGGGUUGAUUUUACUUCCACACUUAGCUACUCUAGGUUGGGGAGUAGGGCCAGGGGGGAAGUUCUAGAUACUUUUCCGUACUUUGUAUCUGGCGUACUUCACCUAAUUUCCUCCGCAGUCUUAGGCUUCGGUGGCAUUUAUCACGCGCUUCUGGGACCUGAGACUCCUGAGGAAUCUUUUCCAUUCUUUGGUUAUGUCUGGAAAGAUAGAAAUAAAAUGACUACAAUUUUGGGUAUUCACUUAAUUUUGUUAGGUCUAGGUGCUUUUCUUCUAGUACUCAAGGCUCUUUAUUUUGGCGGUGUAUAUGAUACCUGGGCCCCUGGGGGGGAGAUGUAAGAAAAAUUACCAAUUUGACCCUUAGUCCCAGUGUUAUAUUUGGUUAUUUACUAAAAUCUCCUUUUGGUGGAGAAGGGUGGAUUGUUAGUGUAGAUGAUUUAGAAGAUAUAAUUGGUGGGCAUGUAUGGUUGGGUUUUAUUUGUGUAUUUGGCGGAAUUUGGCAUAUUUUAACCAAACCCUUCGCAUGGGCUCGCCGUGCAUUUGUAUGGUCUGGAGAAGCUUACUUGUCUUAUAGUUUAGCUGCUUUAUCUGUCUUUGGUUUUAUCGCUUGUUGUUUUGUAUGGUUCAAUAAUACAGCUUAUCCGAGUGAGUUUUAUGGACCCACCGGGCCAGAAGCUUCUCAAGCUCAAGCAUUUACUUUUCUAGUUAGAGACCAGCGUCUUGGAGCUAAUGUGGGAUCCGCUCAAGGACCCACAGGUUUAGGUAAAUAUCUAAUGCGUUCCCCAACUGGGGAGGUUAUCUUUGGAGGGGAAACUAUGCGUUUUUGGGACCUUCGUGCUCCAUGGUUAGAACCUCUAAGGGGCCCCAACGGUUUGGACUUGAGUAGGUUGAAAAAAGACAUACAACCUUGGCAAGAACGACGCUCAGCAGAAUAUAUGACCCACGCUCCUUUAGGCUCUUUAAAUUCCGUGGGUGGCGUAGCUACCGAGAUCAAUGCAGUUAAUUAUGUCUCUCCUAGAAGUUGGUUAUCAACUUCUCAUUUUGUUCUAGGAUUCUUCUUUUUUGUGGGCCAUUUAUGGCAUGCAGGAAGAGCCCGAGCUGCUGCAGCAGGUUUUGAAAAGGGAAUCGAUCGUGAUUUGGAACCUGUUCUUUACAUGAACCCUCUUAACUAAGAUUUUCUUAUUUAUACCUGUUCUACUUUUUUUCUGUUCUGGCUCGGUUAUUCCAUCUAGCCGAGCCAUUCAUUCCUUUUUAUGAAAGAAAGAUAAGGGACAGAAAAAAAAAAAAUGAAAGAAACAAACGUAUUCAAUAAGCAAAAGGAGAGAGAGGGAUUCGAACCCUCGAUAGUUCCUAGAACUAUACCGGUUUUCAAGACCGGAGCUAUCAACCACUCAGCCAUCUCUCCACAGCCUAAUCCUUAUUUUACUCCUACAAAUAGAACAUAGCCAUAUAAAAAAUAAAAAGAUUUAUUAGCCUCUAGAAAGAUAUCAGAUACAAGUUCCUUUUCGAUAUAUCUCUGUAUACUGUAUACACGGAUACAGGAUCCGCUAUACCCGCUUGUGAAAUAAAGAGUAAAUAAUCUCUUCUCACCCCCAUAUCCAAAUAAAAAAGCGGUUUAAGUAAUAAAUUUGAAUUAAAGAGAAGAAUCAAUGGAUUCAUGAUUAAACCCCUCCUACUUCUUGUAUUUUUUUACAAUUUUGGUUAAGUGAGGGAUCAAAUAUGUA